rnacentral:rRNA from 1 species
UACGGAGGGUGCGAGCGUUAACCGGAAUAACUGGGUGUAAAGGGCGCGUAGGCGGGCUUUUAAGUCAGGUGUGAAAUCCCCGGGCUUAACCUCGGAAUAGCAUUUGAGACUGGAGGUCUUGAGUGCUUUAGAGGGAGGUAGAAUUCCACGUGUAGCGGUGAAAUGCGUAGAUAUGUGGAGGAAUACCAAUGGCGAAGGCAGCCCCCUGGGAAUGUACUGACGCUCAUGUGCGAAAGCGUGGGGAGCAAACAGG